rnacentral:rRNA from 1 species
GACGAACCGUGCGAACGUUGUUCGGAAUCACUGGGCUUAAAGGGCGCGUAGGCGGGCCUUCAAGUUUGGGGUGAAAUCCUCCGGCUCAACCGGAGAACUGCCUCGAAUACUGAAGGUCUCGAGGGGGAUAGGGGCAUGCGGAACUCCAGGUGGAGCGGUGAAAUGCGUUGAUAUCCGUAGGAACUCCGGUGGCGAAGGCGGCGUGCUGGAUCCCUUCUGACGCUGAGGCGCGAAAGCCAGGGGAGCAAACGGG